UACAGAGGGUGCGAGCGUUAAUCGGAAUUACUGGGCGUAAAGGGCGCGUAGGCGGUUGCAGACGUGUGAUGUGAAAUCCCUGGGCUUAACCUAGGAAGUGCAUCGCAGACGAUGUGACUGGAGUAUUGGAGAGGGUAGCGGAAUUUCCGGUGUAGCGGUGAAAUGCGUAGAGAUCGGAAGGAACGUCAAUGGCGAAGGCAGCUACCUGGCCAGAUACUGACGCUGAGGCGCGAGAGCGUGGGGAGCAAACAGG
rnacentral:rRNA from 1 species